rnacentral:rRNA from 1 species
UACAGAGAUCCCAAGCGUUGUUCGGAUUCAUUGGGCGUAAAGGGUGCGUAGGUGGCGUCGUAAGUCGGGUGUGAAAUCUCGGGGCUUAACUCCGAAACUGCAUUCGAUACUGCGGUGCUUGAGGACUGGAGAGGAGACUGGAAUUUACGGUGUAGCAGUGAAAUGCGUAGAGAUCGUAAGGAAGACCAGUGGCGAAGGCGGGCCUCUGGACAGUUCCUGACACUGAGGCACGAAGGCCAGGGGAGCAAACGGG